ensembl:lncRNA
CCGGGAUCCCUGAGCUCCCAGAACAAAGUGUGGACGGCCACCUGGGGUCCUACAGCAGCUCUCUUCUUCCGUCAAGGAAUGAAGACCCUCAAACAAGCAGAACAAACACCCAGCUUCCAGCUGCCGUCACCACGAGCCCAUGACAGAGGCCGCCUCUCCCCACACAGAGGGACAGUGGCGUGAGGUCAGAGCAGAGGCUGGCCCGCCAUGCGUCCUGCUCUUGCUUGUUGCUGAUGGCAGAAGAUGCUGGUGCCACCAGAGCCCAGUCUGGGGACCGGGGCUCACGAGGCCCUGGAUCUAACCUGGCCUCGAAGAGGUCCUGGGCGUCGGGGUGACACCUGGGGCCCUGGGGUGGCUGCCGCGGUGGUGGUCCCGACGCUGACGCUGAUGGAGCCCAUGGUCCCGGCAACACCGCAGAGCUGUGCACUUGGUCCCAAGGCCUUCGGCAGUGAGCUAGAGAAGCAGUGAGUCCCUUCACGGUGACGUCAGACCCUCACGACCAACGAGAAGCCUUUCGUAAAAUGAUGCUUCGUGGCGUUAAACUCCCCCUUGACCAAAGCCUUGUAUGCUGGCCUUCCCUCUCUGCCGCUUUGGAACAGACUCUCAGAGCCCUGCCUCCCGGGCUGCGGUCCUCAUUCUGCUCCAAAUACAACUUGGCUUGCAACGCUCAAGUUGUGCCUCGUUUUUGG